rnacentral:rRNA from 1 species
GAGUUUGAUCCUGGCUCAGGACGAACGCUGGCGGCGUGCUUAACACAUGCAAGUCGAGCGGUAAGGCCCUUCGGGGUACACGAGCGGCGAACGGGUGAGUAACACGUGAGCAACCUGCCCCUGACUCCGGGAUAAGCGGUGGAAACGCCGUCUAAUACCGGAUAUGACACGCCACCUCAUGGUGGUGUGUGGAAAGUUUUUCGGUCAGGGAUGGGCUCGCGGCCUAUCAGCUUGUUGGUGGGGUAAAGGCCUACCAAGGCGAUUACGGGUAGCCGGCCUGAGAGGGCGACCGGCCACACUGGGACUGAGACACGGCCCAGACUCCUGCGGGAGGCAGCAGUGGGGAAUAUUGCGCAAUGGGCGAAAGCCUGACGCAGCGACGCCGCGUGGGGGAUGACGGCCUUCGGGUUGUAAACCUCUUUUACCACCAACGCAGGCU